AGUUGAUAAGCUACAAUAGCAUAUGUUUUGAAAACAUAAAAUUAGAAGUUCAAACCUUCUAUUAACUU
rnacentral:tRNA from 1 species